rnacentral:tRNA from 1 species
GCCCAGAUGGCGGAAUUGGUAGACGCACUAGCUUCAGGUGCUAGCGACUUCACGGUCGUGGAGGUUCGAAUCCUCUUCUGGGCACCA